UGGGGGCAGGAGAGCGCAUCGUACCCAGACCCAGUGGUCCCAGGAGACUGAAUCGCGGAGCCAGGAGGACCAGGUGGGCAGGAGCGAGGAGGCGCCCAGAUCCCCCAUCCCACCCGACUUCGAGAGCUUCAGGCAGCCUGUGAGGUCACCCCUUUGAUUCUCCGUUGAUGCUCCCUGACCAGACUUGGAGUCAGAGAGGAAGCAAGCUCCCUGACGAAAUAGUAAGAGCUUGACUUGCCUGGGUCACCUGCCAGAGACACAGGACUGCUGCUGAACCUGGCUCUCCUGUCACCUUGCAAGCUGACUUCUGAGACCCUCUACCUCCCAGCUCUACUACUGGAGUUAAUAAGACAGGUUAUAGAGAACUACACAGAACACUGGGCCUCACUUUCCUCCUCAGUUGUGACCAGGUGUGACCAUGCCUUGCUGUGCGCUGUCCAGGCCAGCCCCUCCCUGGACAUAAGGGCCACCAGUAACACAGGCUGGAG